UACGUAGGGGGCAAGCGUUAUCCGGAAUUACUGGGUGUAAAGGGUGAGUAGGCGGCAUGGUAAGCCAGAUGUGAGAGCCUUGGGCUUAACCCGAGGAUUGCAUUUGGAACUAUCAAGCUAGAGUACAGGAGAGGAAAGCGGAAUUCCUAGUGUAGCGGUGAAAUGCGUAGAUAUUAGGAAGAACACCAGUGGCGAAGGCGGCUUUCUGGACUGAAACUGACGCUGAGGCACGAAAGCGUGGGGAGCGAACAGG
rnacentral:rRNA from 1 species